rnacentral:rRNA from 1 species
UCCUGGUGUAGCGGUGGAAUGCGCAGAUAUCAGGAGGAACACCGAUGGCGAAGGCAGAUCUCUGGGCUGUAACUGACGCUGAGGAGCGAAAGGGUGGGGAGCAAACAGGCUUAGAUACCCUGGUAGUCCACCCCGUAAACGUUGGGAACUAGUUGUGGGGUCCAUUCCACGGAUUCCGUGACGCAGCUAACGCAUUAAGUUCCCCGCCUGGGGAGUACGGCCGCAAGGCUAAAACUCAAAGGAAUUGACGGGGACCCGCACAAGCGGCGGAGCAUGCGGAUUAAUUCGAUGCAACGCGAAGAACCUUACCAAGGCUUGACAUAUAUGAGAACGGGCCAGAAAUGGUCAACUCUUUGGACACUCGUAAACAGGUGGUGCAUGGUUGUCGUCAGCUCGUGUCGUGAGAUGUUGGGUUAAGUCCCGCAACGAGCGCAACCCUCGUUUUAUGUUGCCAGCACGUAAUGGUGGGAACUCAUGGGAUACUGCCGGGGUCAACUCGGAGGAAGGUGGGGAUGACGUCAAAUCAUCAUGCCCCUUAUGUCUUGGGCUUCACGCAUGCUACAAUGGCCGGUACAAAGGGCUGCAAUACCGCGAGGUGGAGCGAAUCCCAAAAAGCCGGUCCCAGUUCGGAUUGAGGUCUGCAACUCGACCUCAUGAAGUCGGAGUCGCUAGUAAUCGCAGAUCAGCAACGCUGCGGUGAAUACGUUCCCGGGUCUUGUACACACCGCCCGUCAAGUCAUGAAAGUCGGUAACACCUGAAGCCGGUGGCCUAACCUUUUUGGAGGGAGCCGUCGAAGGUG